GACAGAGGGUGCAAACGUUGUUCGGAAUUACUGGGCGUAAAGCGCGUGUAGGCUGCUCGGAAAGUCGGAUGUGAAAGCCCCGGGCUCAACCUGGGAACUGCAUUUGAAACUGGCGGGCUUGAGUGCGGCAGAGGGGGGUGGAAUUCCGCGUGUAGCAGUGAAAUGCGUAGAGAUGCGGAGGAACACCGAUGGCGAAGGCAGCCCCCUGGGCCGACACUGACGCUCAGGCACGAAAGCGUGGGGAGCAAACAGG
rnacentral:rRNA from 1 species